rnacentral:SRP_RNA from 1 species
AGCGGCUCCUCGCGUGGUGCCAUCUUGGCCAAUUCCCCUAGGACGGAAACGUAGCAAGGGUAACCGGGCUCUGGUAGGUGCGCGAGGGGUCCUUUCU